ensembl:lncRNA
AUAGAGCUGGGGGCCGAGGUCUGACUGAACCACUGGUUCAGGUGGAUUAUAAACUGGUUCCCAUCGUAGAGACUGGGGUCAUAGAGCUGGGGGCCGAGGUCUGACUGAACCACUGGUUCAGGUGGAUUAUAAACUGGUUCCCAUCGUAGAGACUGGGGUCAUAGAGCUGGGGGCCGAGGUCUGAGCCACUGGUUCAGGUGGAUUAUAAACUGGUUCCCAUCGUAGAGACUGGGGUCAUAGAGCUGGGGGCUGAGGUCUGACUGAACCACUGGCUCAGGUGGAUUAUAAAACUGUCAUAGACUUGGACUUGGUCGAAUGAGAAAUGCUUGUUUUGAAACCUGGGGUGAAUACGGUCUGCCCUAAUGACUACACCCUAGUCCUCCUGGGAGUAACCCAGUCACGAGUUAGAGGUCAGGGUUCACCUUACUGCAGGCCGAAGAGCAGACCAGCCUGCUGACAGUGAGGAAAGGAAGGGAUCCCCCCCAACUCUCUCUGUCCUCUCUCUUCCGUCCACUCUCCUCUCUGUCGUCUCUGUCCUCUCUCUUCCAUCCACUCUCCUCUGUCGUCUCUCCUCCGUGACCCGGAAACCGAUGAGUGGUCGAGGAGUGUAUCAGUUCGUUAGUAGGCGAACGGAAGACGGUCCUCUCCUCCUUGUCUAAGCCUCCUUUUGACGAGGAAGCACAAGUGUAUCCUACAAACGGAAGAGCUUGGAUAUCUGCCACGCACCCUUUUGAAUCAGCUGUUGUAUUGCCAGAGGAGAAAAGCACGGACACGUUUGUGUUUUUUAAACAAUAUGCUAUUUAUCCUUUAUCUAUAAAACGUAUCGCAUAACUAACUUCAUUCAUAUUUAUCACGUAACACAUUUAUUUUGGAAUCCACCCCUGUAAACGUCAUUCGCCUGAUGGAACAGGAAACAGGAAAAGGGGACAGUUUCAUUUCAUUCAAGCGCAUUUUCGUCCACUUUCCCCUCUCCCUCGCCUCCUCGAUUUGACCUUUUUUCAAAAGGAGAGAGGCCGCAGGAAGAAAUCAAAUGGAGAAAAGGCUCAUAAUCUACAUUCAAAACGGCACCAUAUCUCCCUAUAUAUAUAUAUAUAGUGCACUACUUUUUGCAGUAUAGGGUGCUGUUUAGGACAAACUAUAUGUUUGAGGGGAAAGAGAAUCCAGGGACGAGUGGCGGUGGAGGAGACAGACGGCAGUCCACACAUCUACAGUGACUUGCAAAAGUAUUCAUACCCCCCCCUUUUUUUUUGGAUUUCUUCACAUUUUUUAUUGUGUUGCAAAAAGUGGGAUUCAAAUGUAUUUUAAUUAGUCAACUCAUGUGGUCUCUCAAAGUGGAAUGCAACCAUGUUAAAGAUUUAAAAGUAAUUCGAAAGCUAAAAUAGUAUUCAGACCCUUUUUGUUUAGGUGUAAAUUAGUUCAGGAGUAAAAUGUGACUUAACGUAAUAAGUGACAUGGACUCUGUGUGAUAAAAUAGGUGUUGACAUUUAUUUCUGAAUGACUAACCCUUCCCCCCUCUUCACAGAUUCAACUACAAAGACCAGGGAGCUUUUCAAAAGCCUUGUUUAAAAAAAAAAUAAUAAUAAUAAAUGGUAGUGAUUGGUAGACGGGUAACAAUAUCAAAGCAAACGAUGAAUUUUAAUAUCUCUUCAAGCACGGUCACGUUAAUAAUGAUGCCGUGGAUGAUUUAUUAAAACCACCCAGACACAUCAAAGAUACAGUCUCCCUUCUGAACUGAGGUACAGGACAAGGAUGUUACCAUGGCGAUUGGAUGUUACCAUGGCGAUUGGAUGUUACCAUGAGGCCAUUGGUGAUUUUUAAAAUGGUCAAGUUCAAAUGGCUGUGAUGGGAUGAAAACAAGAGGUUGGAUCAACAUUGUAGUGGACUCCACAAUAAUGACUUAAAUAACAGUGACAAGAAUGCAAAAUAUACAUCUGGUAUGCAGCAGAGUGAUAAUGAGAAUGAGAAAACACUGUUCAGAAAUAUACUUUUUUGGCCUAAAUACAACACAAAGUACUUAACUGCCUCCUUAUAUUCAAGCAUGUUGGUGGCUGCAUCAUGUUAUGGGUAUGCUUGACAAAUGCAAAUACUGAGGAGGUUUUCAGGAUAAAAAGAAACUAGGUGGAGCAAAGCACGGUCAAAAUCCUUUGUCUGCUUUCCACCAGACACUGAGAGAUGAUUUCACCUAUUCAGAAGGACAUUAACCUAAAACACAAGGCCAAAUCUACACUGGAGUUGCUUAUCAAGGAGGCUGGGUAUGUUCCUGAGUGGGCAACUUACAGUUUUGAUUUAUAUCUGCUUGAAACUCUAUGGCAAGACUUGAAAAGAGCUUUCUAGCCAUGAUCCCCAACACCUUGACAGAGCUUGAAGAAUUUUGAAAAGAAUAAUGGGUAAUUAUUGUACAAUCAAGGUUUGCAAAGCUCUUAGAGACUUACCCGAGAAGACCCACAGAUGUAACUGCUGCCAAAAAGGGGUUUAUAUUAUAUGUAUUGACUCAGGGAGCUGAAUAAUUAUGCAGUCUUAAAUGUAAAAAAUAAUAAUAAUAAAUCCACGUUGACAGAGAAGUACAAUUAAAUCCAUUUUAAUUCCACUUUGUGAAACAAUAAAAUGAAUAGUUUUGCAAGGCACUGUUUCUGCCUUGCUCUGUGUCACAACAUAUUACAUGACACCCUGUUAAGUGGCUACCAAUGGUAAUUCUUCUUUUUCUAUGCAUUUCCUUAUUACUUUGACUGACUUGUGUACACAGACUGCACAAACACACACACAACGUGAUAUAUAUAUAUAUAUAUAUAUAUAUAUAUAUAUAUAUAUAUAUAUAUAUAUAUAUAUAUAUAUAUAUAUAUAUAUAUAUAUAUACACACAUAUACACACAUAUACACACACAUGUGCACAAAUUCAUGAUGACGGUUUGAUUUAUGAUUAUGACAGAAUUGAGUGUGAGGAAGUUAUGUAAAAAAAUAUUAUUUUUUUUUCUUGUUGGUUUCAAAAUAAUUUUCCAAACAAGCCUGGUCCUGAAAGUGGCCGUGGUUUCACACGUGGCAGGACGUGUCGUUGCCAAGACUACAGAGAUGCAGAAAGGAGUAGUAGACCACGAGGGAAGACAUGCAGGUGCUGUACCAGACAUGAUUUACUUUGUCCUCAUUGUCAUUCUUAUUGGUUUUGUUUUUUGGAAGUUGCAGGAAAUAACUUGCACUAUGAUUUAUUUUAAUUUUAUUUACAGUGACACACUACAGUCUGAGAUAUCACCUUAUUGAAUUUAUUACAGAAUCUUAGUGGCCAUGGUUACCGAUGCCUUGGGAAUUUAAAAUAAUGGUUCGUCAUUGUUUAUUAUUCAGCCAUUUUCGUUUAUAUAUAUAUCAAUGUACAAAAUAUUUUUGUUUUUAAUAUUUAUUACUGUGAACAUAGUAUUUACAUUUUCUUACUUUUUUUUCAUUUAUGGGACAAAUGUUAUAUAAAUGUAUCACGGACCAUCGGUUGGAAAAACAAGAUGGUGAAUUUCUGAUGGACUGUUUCCCGAUUUAACUUAAUUCCUUUUCUAUAUGGAGAAAUAAAAAGCGUUUGAUUUACAGCUG